AGAGUUUGAUCCUGGCUCAGGACGAACGCUGGCGGCGUGCUUAACACAUGCAAGUCGAGCGAUGAAACUACUUCGGUAGUGAAUUAGCGGCGAACGGGUGAGGAACACGUGAGGAAUCUGCCUUCUACACUGGGAUAACUCCGGGAAACCGGGGCUAAUACCGGAUAUGAAACUUGGUGGCAUCACCGGGUUUGGAAAGUUUUUCGGUAGAAGAUGACCUCGCGGCCUAUCAGCUUGUUGGUGAGGUAAUGGCUCACCAAGGCGACGACGGGUAGCCGGCCUGAGAGGGCGACCGGCCACACUGGGACUGAGACACGGCCCAGACUCCUACGGGAGGCAGCAGUGGGGAAUAUUGGGCAAUGGAGGAAACUCUGACCCAGCGACGCCGCGUGCGGGAUGAAGGCCUUCGGGUUGUAAACCGCUUUCAGUAGGGAAGAAGCGAAAGUGACGGUACCUACAGAAGAAGCACCGGCUAACUAUGUGCCAGCAGCCGCGGUAAUACAUAGGGUGCAAGCGUUGUCCGGAAUUAUUGGGCGUAAAGAGCUCGUAGGUGGUUCGUUACGUCGGAUGUGAAAAUCUGGGGCUCAACCCCAGACCUGCAUCCGAUACGGUCGAGCUAGAGUUUGGUAGGCGAGACUGGAAUUCCUGGUGUAGCGGUGGAAUGCGCAGAUAUCAGAGGAACACCAAUGGCGAAAGGCAGGUCUCUGGGCCAAUACUGACACUGAGGAGCGAAAGCGUGGGGAGCGAACAGGAUUAGAUACCCUGGUAGUCCACGCCGUAAACGGUGGGCGCUAGUUGUGGGAACCUUCCACGGUUUCUGCGACGCAGCUAACGCAUUAAGCGCCCCCG
rnacentral:rRNA from 1 species